rnacentral:rRNA from 1 species
GACGAACGCUGGCGGCGUGCUUAACACAUGCAAGUCGAACGCUGAAGCUCAGCUUUUGUUGGGUGGAUGAGUGGCGAACGGGUGAGUAACACGUGAGUAACCUGCCUCCUUCUUUGGGAUAACGCCCGGAAACGGGUGCUAAUACUGGAUAUUCACUGGUCUUCGCAUGGGGGUUGGUGGAAAGGGUUUUUCUGGUGGGGGAUGGGCUCGCGGCCUAUCAGCUUGUUGGUGGGGUGAUGGCCUACCAAGGCUUUGACGGGUAGCCGGCCUGAGAGGGUGACCGGUCACAUUGGGACUGAGAUACGGCCCAGACUCCUACGGGAGGCAGCAGUGGGGAAUAUUGCAUAAUGGGCGCAAGCCUGAUGCAGCGACGCCGCGUGAGGGAUGGAGGCCUUCGGGUUGUGAACCUCUUUCGCUCAUGGUCAAGCCGCAACAAUGGUUGUGGUGAGGGUAGUGGGUAAAGAAGCGCCGGCUAACUACGUG